AAAGCAUCCCAACUCCGCCCGGGACGCGGUUCCAGUCCGCACCAACUUGGCGUAAUUGACAUGGGUAGGUGGGGCCGGGACGCGUCCCCUGCCCCUCUGCGGCAACGACAUGGAGCGCUGGGGCGGCCUCCGCGCCCGCGGCGUGCGGACCACGGUUCCUGAAAAAUUACCCGCGCUGUGCGGUACGGUAAGACCCGGCGUCCGCGUCUGGAUCUCCAGGCUGAGCGAGCGCUCAUCGGGCUCAAGAAUCUCGUUCUAUGGCCCAGGCUGGAGUACAGUGACACGAUCACGGCUCACUGCAGUCUCUGCCUCCCGGAUGGAAAUCCUGUAUGAAUGUGGAAGCCAUUAGCAGAGUAAUUGCUGUCUGUUACCAUGACAACCAGCCGCUGCAGUCACCUGCCCGAAGUCCUGCCAGACUGCACCAACUCAGCUGCACCCGUGGUGAAGACGGUGGAGGAUUGUGGCAGCCUAGUGAAUGGGCAGCCGCAGUAUGUCAUGCAAGUUUCAGCCAAGGACGGGCAGCUGCUGUCAACAGUAGUGCGGACUCUUGCCACCCAGAGCCCCUUCAAUGACCGGCCGAUGUGCAGGAUCUGCCAUGAGGGCAGCAGCCAAGAGGACUUGCUCUCUCCAUGUGAAUGUACAGGGACCUUGGGGACAAUUCAUCGGAGCUGCCUGGAGCACUGGCUGUCAUCCUCAAACACCAGCUACUGUGAACUCUGCCACUUCAGGUUUGCAGUCGAGCGCAAACCCAGGCCGUUAGUGGA
rnacentral:sRNA from 1 species